rnacentral:rRNA from 1 species
CAGCAGUGAGGAAGGUGGGUAUGUUAAUAGCAUAUUCAUUUGACGUUAGCUGCAGAAGAAGCACCCGGCUAACUCCGUGCCAGCAGCCGCGGUAAUACGGAGGGUGCGAGCGUUAAUCGGAAGUUACUGGGCGUAAAAGCGCAUGCAGGUGGUUUGUUAAAGUCAGAUGUGAAAGCCCCGGGGCUCAACCUCGGAAUUGCAUUUGAAACUGGCAAACUAGAGUACUGUAGAGGGGGGUAGAAUUUCAGGUGUAGCGGUGAAAAUGCGUAGAGAUCUGAAGGAAUAACCCGGUGGCGAAGGCGGCCCCCCUGGACAGAUACUGACACUCAGAUGCGAAAGCGUGGGGAGCAAACAGGAUUAGAUACCCCUGGUAG